AGCCCAUGAUUAGGACAUCUCCUGAAUAAGGCUUUGUAUCUCUCCCAAGCAUCAUUCAAGCUCUUGCCUUCACGCUGAACGAAAUUGAAGAUCUUAUCUCGAAUUGCGGAC
rnacentral:snoRNA from 1 species